rnacentral:rRNA from 1 species
GACGUAGGGCGCGAGCGUUGUCCGGAUUUAUUGGGCGUAAAGAGCUCGUAGGCGGCUUGUCGCGUCGUCCGUGAAAACUUGGGGCUCAACCCCAAGCUUGCGGUCGAUACGGGCAGGCGUGGAGUUCGGUAGGGGAGACUGGAAUUCCUGGUGUAGCGGUGAAUGCGCAGAUAUCAGGAAGAACACCCGUGGCGAAGGCGGCUCUCUGGGACGGUACUGACGCUGAGACGCGAA